rnacentral:lncRNA from 10 species
GAUUUGCGCUGGGUUUUGGAACCAGCAAUUGGCCACAGGCACACACACCCCCAAUCAGAGGCGCGCACCCCGCUCGCUCCCGGAACUGUCAUGCGGGCUGACAGCUGGCACACCCUCCUGUCGCCCUCCACCCGCCUGCAGAAAGCCCACUCCCUACAGUCACCUUGACAUUGCUCACCUGCCUGGGCCUCAGCCCAUGACCAAGGAAACUUUUGCCCUCCCUCCCCAGGAGCUCACUUACAGGCCAUCUUCAAAGGUACUGCCUACCUGAACCUGCCUUGUCCCAAAGGACACACUUCAAUCUGGGGAGAGUUUAAAGUUGUAGACAUAUCCAUUUUCAUUUAAGGAAUAUGAAGAUCAGGGAGGCAAAAUAUAGAGAUAUAGAGAGGAAAAACUGAGAGAUGAUCAGAAAUUCAGACGCAUUCGGAAUGAGCACCCUUGACCAUACCAAGAACAAAGACUCUAUAAAAAUGUGAAGUCUUAUUAUUGUUCAUCCAUGUUCUACGUGGGAUCCACCCAAGACAUUGAAAACUGUACAGAACAGGGUGAAAUUGAAUCAGAUCAUUCUGUACUCCUAACAAGGUCCACCCCAUGAGAGACUUGCAGCAGAAUUAAUGACACUGUAUAUUUUCCUCUACUAACAACAACAAGAACAACAACAACAACAAUCUAGGAAAAUCAAAGGCAGCCCGACAUGGAAAAAAACACAAAAUGAAUAUUUGGAUUACAAAUAGUGUGAUGGGAAGAACACACUGCCAAAAGUCCACCUAGUAUGUUGAAAUUACUGUUUCUAGCACAUAUAAGGCUGGAGUGCAAUGGUGUGAUCACAGCUCACUGCAGGCUG